rnacentral:rRNA from 1 species
GUGAGGAAUAUUGGUCAAUGGGCGCAAGCCUGAACCAGCCAUGCCGCGUGCAGGAAGACGGUCCUAUGGAUUGUAAACUGCUUUUAUUUGGGAAUAAACUCCGGUACGUGUACCGGCCUGAAGGUACCAAAUGAAUAAGCACCGGCUAACUCCGUGCCAGCAGCCGCGGUAAUACGGAGGGUGCAAGCGUUAUCCGGAAUCAUUGGGUUUAAAGGGUCCGCAGGCGGUCUUAUAAGUCAGUGGUGAAAGGCUACAGCUCAACUGUAGAACUGCCAUUGAUACUGUAGGACUUGAAUUCGAUCGAAGUGGGCGGAAUGUGACAUGUAGCGGGGAAAUGCUUAGAUAUGUCACAGAACACCGAUAGCGAAGGCAGCUCACUAGGUCUGGAUUGACGCUCAGUGACGAAAGCGUGGGGAGCAAACAGGAUUAGAAACCCCAGUAGUCC